GCAGGUUCCCCUACGACUACCUUGUUACGACUUCACCCCAGUCACUGAGCCUACCGUGGCCGGCUGCCUCCUUUGCAGGUUAGCGCACCGUCGUCGGGUAAACCCAAUUCCCAUGGUGUGACGGGCGGUGUGUACAAGGCCCGGGAACGUAUUCACCGCGUCAUGCUGUUACGCGAUUACUAGCGAUUCCGACUUCAUGGGGUCGAGUUGCAGACCCCAAUCCGAACUGAGAUGGCUUUUUGGGAUUAACCCAUUGUCACCACCAUUGUAGCACGUGUGUAGCCCAACCCGUAAGGGCCAUGAGGACUUGACGUCAUCCACACCUUCCUCCGGCUUAUCACCGGCAGUUCUUCCAGAGUGCCCAACUGAAUGAUGGCAACUGAAAGU
rnacentral:rRNA from 1 species